rnacentral:rRNA from 1 species
CCUACGGGAGGCAGCAGUGGGGAAUCUUGCACAAUGGAGGAAACUCUGAUGCAGCGAUGCCGCGUGAGUGAAGAAGGCCUUUGGGUUGUAAAGCUCUUUUGUAGGGGAAGAUAAUGACUGUACCCUAAGAAUAAGGUCCGGCUAACUUCGUGCCAGCAGCCGCGGUAAUACGAAGGGACCUAGCGUAGUUCGGAAUUACUGGGCGUAAAGCGCGCGUAGGCCGUUGAGUUAGUUAAUUGUGAAAUCCCAAAGCUUAACUUUGGAACUGCAAUUAAAACUGCUCGACUAGAGUUUGGUAGAGGAAAGCGGAAUACAUAGUGUAGAGGUGAAAUUCGUAGAUAUUAUGUAGAACACCAGUUGCGAAGGCGGCUUUCUGGAUCAACACUGACGCUGAGGCGCGAAAGUAUGGGUAGCAAAGAGGAUUAGAUACCCUCGUAGUCCAUACCAUAAACGAUGAUUGCUAGAUGUUGGAAAUUUAUUUUCAGUAUCGCAGCUAACGCAUUAAGCAAUCCGCCUGGGGAGUACGACCGCAAGGUUAAAACCUCAAAGGAAUUGACGG